CCUAGGUCACCCUUGAAUAAACUACCUUCGUUGCUUUGGCGGGCCGCCUCCAAGGCCAGCGCUUCGGCUGCUGCGCGCCCGCCGGAGGACCACAACUCUUGUUUUUAGUGAUGUCUGAGUACUAUAUAAUAGUUAAAACUUUCAAAAAACGGAUCUCUUGGUUCUGGCAUCGAUGAAGAACGCAGCGAAAUGCGAUAAGUAAUGUGAAUUGCAGAAUUCAGUGAAUCAUCGAAUCUUUGAACGCACAUUGCGCCCUUUGGUAUUCCGAAGGGCAUGCCUGUUCGAGCGUCAUUAUAACCACUCAAGCUCUCGCUUGGUAUUGGGGUUCGGGGCUUCGCGGCUCCUAAACUCAGUGGCGGUGCCUGUCGGCUCUACGCGUAGAAAAACUCCUCGCGUCUGGGUCCGGGUAGGUGGCUUGCCAACAACCCCCAAUUUUUUACAGGUUGACCUCGGAUCAGGUAGGGAUACCGGGCUGAACUUAAGCAUAU
rnacentral:rRNA from 1 species